GGAUGUGAGGGUGAUCUGGCUGUGACAUCGGUCACCCCAUUGAUUACCAGAGUUAAUUCAGCUGAUCUGGCUGGCUAAGCAGGUGUCUCCCUUCCUCCCUCACUGCUCCAUGUGCAUCCAUCUCGAAGCUGUGCACUAGGUCUAAGAGAAUGACCUUUCCCAGUAGAGGAGGGCCCGUUGUUCAGUCAAGGGUAACAAGUGACUGCGCUCCUUGCUAGAACAUCCAAACAAGCCCUCAAGGUCCAUUUGUAGAAGAACAUAGGAAUGGUCAAGCUUCUAAGACUCCAGAAACAUCCAAAUGAUGUGCCACAUGUGGCAAUCUGCCUUUCUUA
ensembl:misc_RNA 7SK 7SK RNA